GUGGGGCUGGAUUAUAGGGUUGGAGGGGGCGUUUGGGACUGAGUUAUGGGGCUGGGGGGUUUUGGGGCUGAGUUGUGGGGCUGGGGGGAAACUUGGGGAGCUGGGGGACUGACUGAUGGGGUCUCUGUGGGUCGCUAUGGGGUCUCUAUGGCCUCUCUGUGCCUCUCUAUGGUCUCCACGUAUCCCUAAGGCCCCUCUAUCGUCUCUCUAUGUCCUCUCUAUGGUCCCCACGUAUCCCUGUGGCCGCUCUAUGUCCGCUCUCUGGCCCUCCUACGCUCUCUAUGGUCUCCAUGUAUCCCUAUGGCCUCCCUAUGGCCACUCUAUGGUCUCUCCAUGCUCUCUAUGUCCUCUCUAUGGCCUCCAUGUAUCCCUAUGGUCUCUCUAUGGCACUCUAUGGGCACUCUAUGUCCUCUCUAUGGUCUCCAUGUAUUCUUAUGGCCUCUCUAUGGCCUCUCUAUGCUGUCUGUGUCCUCCUUAUGGCUCUCUAUGUCCUCUCUAUGGUCCCCACGUAUCCCUGUGGCCCCUCUAUGGCCCUUCUAUGGCCACUCCAUAUCCUCUCUAUGGUCCCCACGUAUCCCUAUGGCCGCUCUAUGUCCCCUCUCUGGCCCUCCUACGCUCUCUAUGGUCUCCGUGUAUCCCUAUGGCCUCCCUAUGGCCACUCUACGACCACUCUACGUCCUCUCUAUGGUCCCCACGUAUCCCUGUGGCCGCUCUAUGUCCGCUCUCUGGCCCUCCUACGCUCUCUAUGGUGUCUCUAUGGUCCCCACGUGACCCUGCGUGCUGUGCGCCGUGCCGCCCUUCAGGUUCAGCUCCCGCACGAACAGCACGGAUCUGUACCACGUGACCCGGCGCCAUUGGAGCUCCCUGCGCUUCCGGGACGGCGCUUCCGGAGCGGCGCCCCCUACCGGCUUCCACAGCGCCGAACGCAUCGGCCGCUACAUGGUGCUGUUCGGGGGCAGCGUCCACCAGCACUACCAGCAGGAGCGGUGCUACGGGGACGGGAUUUUCUUCUACCACCUGGGCUGCCACCAGUGGGUGCCCGGCCCCACGCUGACACCCGGAGCUGAUUUCCCCCCUAAUUCCCCCUGUUUCCCCCAAUUUGGGGCUGAUUCCCCCCC
rnacentral:lncRNA from 1 species